UUUCUUUCUUUUGUUAUUUCUUUUUGGGAUUUUGGUUUAGAUUUAGCUUUUGCAUUAUUUAGAUUAUUUUUCCUUCUAACUUUUCUUAUUUCUCUUAUUUUGCUUUUUCCUUUUUCAUUCAUUUUCAUGGCAGAGCAAUAAUCUCCUCUUCUUUUAACUCUAGAGUAGUAGUUGGUGCAAUUGCUUGAUGUUAUGCAAUUGCAUUUGAAUAACCAAACUUAGUUGAUGGUGGCAUUCAUGGCACAUAGUACAGCUCCUCCUGCUCUUGGUGCUAAUCCUC
rnacentral:lncRNA from 1 species